GAUGAAGAACGCAGCGAAAUGCGAUAAGUAAUGUGAAUUGCAGAAUUCAGUGAAUCAUCGAAUCUUUGAACGCACAUUGCGCCCCCUGGUAUUCCGGGGGGCAUGCCUGUCUGAGCGUCAUUUCAACCCUCAUGCCCCUAGGGCGUGGUGUUGGGGAUCGGCCAAAGCCCGCGAGGGACGGCCGGCCCCUAAAUCUAGUGGCGGACCCGUCGUGGCCUCCUCUGCGAAGUAGUGAUAUUCCGCAUCGGAGAGCGACGAGCCCCUGCCGUUAAACCCCCAACUUUCCAAGGUUGACCUCAGAUCAGGUAGGAAUACCCGCUGAACUUAAGCAUAUCAAUAAGCGGAGGA
rnacentral:misc_RNA from 1 species